rnacentral:rRNA from 1 species
UUCCGGUUGAUCCUGCCAGACCCCACUGCUAUCGGGAUAGGACUAAGACAUGCUAGUCGAGCGCUUCAAGCCAAAAAGAGGCGCGGCAUACAGCUCAGUAACACGUGGCUAAUCUGCCCUUGGGAUAGGAAUAACCCCGGGAAACUGGGGCUAAUUCCCAAUAGGCGAAGAACUCUGGAAUGAGUCUUUACCAGAAAAGACGCUUGCGUUAUGCUCGUAGGCGUCGCCCAAGGAUGAGGCCGCGACCGAUCAGGUUGUUGGUGAGGUAAUGGCUCACCAAGCCUUUUACCGGUGCGGGCCGUGAGAGCGGGAGCCCGGAGAUGGGCACUGAGACAAGGGCCCAGGCCCUACGGGGCGCAGCAGUCGCGAAAACUUUGCAAUAAGCGAAAGCUUGACAGGGCUAUCCCGAGUGCCAUCCGCUGAGGAAGGCUUUUACCCAGUCUAGAACGCUGGGGGAAUAAGGAGAGGGCAAGUCUGGUGUCAGCCGCCGCGGUAAUACCAGCUCUCCGAGUGGUGUGGAUGUUUAUUGGGCCUAAAGCAUCCGUAGCUGGCUAAGUUAGUCCCUUGUUAAAUCCACCGAAUUAAUCGUUGGAUUGCGGGGGAUACUGCUUGGCUAGGGGACGAGAGAGGCAGACGGUAUUUCCGGGGUAGGGGUGAAAUCCUAUAAUCCCGGGAAGACCACCAGUGGCGAAGGCUGUCUGCUAGAACGCGCCCGACGGUGAGGGAUGAAAGCUGGGGGAGCGAACCGGAUUAGAUACCCGGGUAGUCCCAGCUGUAAACGAUGCAGGCUAGGUUUUUGGACGGCCACUUGCCGUUCUAGUGCCGC